rnacentral:rRNA from 1 species
UGCCAGCCGCCGCGGUAAUACGGAGACUGCGAGCGUUACUCGGAUUCACUGGGCGUAAAGGGUACGUAGGUGGCAUAGUGUGUCAGGUGUGAAAUCUCGGGGCUUAACUCCGAAACUGCGCCUGAAACUACUAAGCUAGAGUUUUGGAGAGGACAGUGGAAUUCUUGGUGUAGCGGUGAAAUGCGUAGAUAUCAAGAGGAACACCGAUAGCGAAGGCAGCUGUCUGGACAAAUACUGACACUCAAGUACGAAAGCGUGGGUAGCGAAAGGGAUUAGAUA